rnacentral:rRNA from 1 species
GUAAUGGCGAAUGAACAGGGAUAAGCUCAGGUUGGAAACCGGGGCAUUUGUUCCGGGUUGUGGCAUGCAGGCAAGGUGCUAUCGGCGGCUUGCGCGUAAGACUCUUGGAAUGGAGCGUGCGUCCGGGUGAGAAUCCUGCGUUUCGCGUAAUGUCCGCUGUCCACAGCCCUUGUUCUCAGAGUCACGCUCCUCGGAAUUGGAGCGUAAAUAAGGUGGUAAAUUUCAUCUAAAGCUAAAUAGGGGCUUGAGACCGAUAGCGAACAAGUACCAUGAGGGAAAGAUGAAAAGGACUUUGGAAAGAGAGUUAAAAGUGUUUGAAAUCGCUGAAAGGGAAGCGAAUGGAACCACAGAUCUUGCUGAGAUUGCCGCGGGCGUUCGUGAGCUUUGGGCGUGACAGCGAAAGCGUUGUGCUCAUGUGUGAACGGUUGCCCGCAGUGUUUCUUAGCUUGCGCGUCACUUGCCACGUCUGUUUGAGGAUGGCCUUCAGCUCACAAGUUGCAUCUGUGGGUGCUUCUUCGGGUUGCUAGGGACUCAGACAGGUGAGGCUGGUUGGCUCAAUGGUUUUUUUCGACCCGUCUUGAACACGGACCACG